GACAAAUGGUCUUGGGAAAACUAGAUACACACGUAAACAUAAUGAAAUUUGACACAUCAUAUACCACACACAAAAGUAAACUCAAAAUGGAUUAAAGACUUAAAUGGAAGACCCAAAACUGUAAAAACUCCUAGAAGAAAACAUAGGGAACAUAAGGAAAAUAUUAAUGGCAUUGGUCUUGGCAAUGAUUUCAUGGAUAUGACACCAAAAGCAUGACAAAUAAAAAUGGCAAGCAAUAGGAUAUGUUGGAGAAUAUGAGGAAGCCAUUUGGUAUAAACCUAAUUCAGCCAGACCUUCUCUUUCCAAAAGGGCCUGACAGUGGCUGUUGAGCAUGCAUUGUAUAUCUGCUUUAGAGAUUCCCUAUGGCAAGAGCAAAAGGCCUUUGAGAUAAAGGUGCAACUUCCCUCCCCCUCCCAACGUUGGCAUCUCCUUAAGGAUUAAGUAUCUUUCCUUAGGCUAGAAACUGAUUGCUGUGCUCACCUGUGACUGCCCAGCUCGAGACAAUAGACUUGCCUCCUGCUAUGCCCAUCAAGAUAGCAGACCCACUACCUGCUGUGUCCAUCAAGCGCUGUGCCAACAGGGCAAUCUUGUGACUAUUGUGGGAGGGACAUUUCAAUCAUAUGUAAAGCACCCUCUUUGGGGGUAUAUAACCACUCUGUACACCUCAUUUCUUUGGUGCCCUUUCUUCCUUUGGGAAGAAAGGCCCUGGGCCAUGGUCCUCAGAUUUCAGCUCAGAAUAAACUCACCCAAAUUUUCAUUUACAGAUUGGUUAUGGAUUAUUUUUGUCGACAUUAUUAUGCCUCUUUCUCUGUGCUAUUUUCUUUGUACUAGGUGAGUCGGCUGUGUCUCCUGAUCUUGGAGAAGUGGCCUUGUGUAUGAGAUGCCUUAUGAGGCCCAGCAGUGUGCUUUCCUCUUGUCACCAGACCAUAAGAACCAGGAGUGACCCCUUUGUGGGCUACUUGUGUUCUUCUGCUGUGGCAGGGUUGCUCCUACUGCAGGUAUCCAGGGACUCUGAUCUUUCCUUCCCUGGCCAGCUGUUUGUAAAUCUGGUUUCGAGGGGCCUCAGCACUGUUGGCUACAAAGUCUAUC
rnacentral:lncRNA from 1 species